CCUGUUUUUUCAGCCAUUAUAUUUUGAACUGAGAUUUUCCUCUCCUGCAGGUUGCAAGUCUUCCCCCGUUGUGCUCUCUUGCUUCAGCCUUCCCCUCUACUGCUCGAAUUGAGAAAAUUCACCAUCCGGUCUUUGAUUCCUCUUGCCGGAGCAUUUUUGAUAGCCUGUGUGUCCUGCAUGAGCACCAGUGCCACAGAGGACACAGCUCACCUCCUGUGUAAUGAAUGACAGUCCAUUUUCAAGAGCUGCAGACAUUUUUACCCAUUCCUGCUACAACUCAUUAUCAAUGUCCUCAUUAGCUUGGCGCUCUGGAGGCACAGCAGGGAUACUUGCAGAUAUGGGCUGGUUUGAGGACAGGAUGGUGAUGGCUGGACAUCUGAAAAAAGAUUCUCCACAUCCUCCUCUUACAAAAAAGGUACAAAACUUUAUUUUUAAACACAAAAUUAAAUAUAAAAAUGUGAGUGAUUAAAAUUUGACUGUCCUGUUUUACACCUACCUUGUCUUGCACUUUGCUCAAGGGCAUCAUACUCUGGUAUUCUCAUUACCUGCUCGUCACAGAAAUGAGCUGCACCUGUUACUCAGCCGUGGUCUGAGGCAACUCUUCCCUCAGUCCCACUUGUUUUAAUGGGCUGACAUUUACUCACAGUGUGAUUCUUCUGUUGAUAUUUAGAUUUCUUUGCCCUUGCUAAUAACAUGUUUAUCUGUCUCUUUAUGCACAACAAAGGAGAGCUGGAGAGACCGAAUGAAGAAAGGGACAUGUGACACUCCUGCUUCUGCAGCUCUCAGUCAUCUUUAACAGCUGUAUGUAUCUGCACACUGCACACACUGUACUUAUUCUGAUAAAAAACAUAAAGUUAUUCUGCAUGUUUCUUAAAAUAGAUAAAUGAAUACAGCUGCAAAUGAAUAGAAGCAGCUGUCCGAUCAUUCUGUGUUUCACAUUAGUGAUGGGCACGGCAGUUCUUUUAGAUGUACUGAAUCAUUAGAAUCAGUUCACUAAAAGGAUUAAUUUAAAAGACUUCUUCACCAAAUCACCUAAUCAUUCAGGGCUUGGUGGGAGGAGCCUGUGACUCCGACCUCCUGAACUGAUACACAGCUGAACGUUUCAGGAUUCAGUUUAAUUCAUGGCUUCUGGGACUGGGAGACAAGAGUGUUUGGCUGUGUUGCUUUGGCAAACAGGUUUGUAAAAAUGAACUUGUUUAUAAGUCAUGGUGUUUUAAGUGUACUGUUCUAUCGUAUGCUAUUCAUCAGGUCUGCUCAGUAAGUUGGGCUCUGAGUGAUUCGUUCACUGAGUGUUACGAAGAAUUCACACUGAACAAGCAUCGAUCCCUUGCAAACCACUACAAUGAUAGGAUGCUGCGGGUUCUAUGCACUACUUGUUACAUGCUGUGUCCUAUUGUAUACAAGGUGUUGUGUUGGCAAUUUAGCAGUGAAAAAAUAGGUAGUUUUGACAGACAAAAAUGAUACCAGAGAGUGUAGUUCAAUGCGUGAUUCGUUCACCAAGUGAUUCAGGCAUCGGUGCAUGCAGUCCCUCGUUUGCCGGCUGCUCACCUGGCAAUGCUGUUUCUCACUUCAGCUGAGAAACAGUCUUGCUGUGAACCGAUUCGGUUCAGUACGUCCACUUAAAAGAUUCGGUUACUUUGAACGAAUCAUCCGUGAACGACACAACACUAUUUCACAAAAAACUAUAUGGAUCAUUUUUAAAGCAAAAUGCUUAAAUAUUCUUAUGUGAUAUAUGAAUAAACAUCGCAUUUUAAUUUUUUUCUUUUAUUGCAAACAUUUAACAAGACAUGCAAAGGAGUGAAGUGUAAUAUGAAUAAUAAUAGAAACAAGAAAUAAGAAAUGAAAAAAAACACCAAUGAAGACAAUAAAAAGAGACAAAAACAAAUAAAAAACAACAACAACAACAACAAAAAGAUAAUGAUUCAUCAGCAAAAUAGGCAAAUAGAGCAAAAACACAAUUGAGAGUAUCAGUCACAACUGUUUAAAAUGUAUGGUAGGGAAUAUUGUCGCUUGAUUGUGUGGAUAAGUACAAUGUAUGUGGUUUCAGGGCAAAAUGUUAUGUAAAAUAAAAAUAAUAAUAAUAAAGAAAAACUGAUAAGCAAUUGAACACGAAAGAAAAUAGGAUAAAUUAUUAUUAUUAUUAUUAUUAUUAUUAUUACGUUAAUGCUUUUGAGACUUGUGAGGUUGGGGGGCAGAGCUCACAGGCAUUAAGUGUAAAACUCUGAGAAGAAGAGGGGUCCAACAAACCUCACAUUUCAAACCUAAUGCUCAUCAGUUGUAAAUGCUAAAUAAAAACUUUACUGAUCCCAAUAAAAACUGUUUAUAAAUUCAUACAAUAUAAUCUAUUUAAUAAGACAGAGCUGAAUGUUCUACAUAAGAAUAUUAAAAAGGAGAAAUAACAGAUAAUGCAAAGGAAAUAACUCUCAUUUUUCAAAUGAUAUCAUUUAGGUGGUAAAUCAAAAGGAAUGAUCGUCAUUUGUCAGAGGUGAUUUUAAAAGAUUUAUGCUCAGUUUUUCGUUAUCAUUUUUCAUCAUCAGCUCAUCACACAUCUACUACUUAGAAACCAAAUGUCAUUUCUGCCUGUUAUCAGGGUUUUCCUUUUAAUAAUGAAACUCUAAUGAUGUGAUGUUUUAGUCGACCUUUAGUGCUUUGCAGCAUCUAAUCAGUGAGUAAUAUCUGACACAGAGGUGUGUCUGUCAGAGAAAAGACUUCUAUGAAGAUUGCACUCAUGAUCUUAGUUAUUGUUACUCCACAUUUCCUCAGUUGGACUCUUCUUGGAUUUUUUCUAAAUGAGCAUUCUAAUGAGACUUUUAUAAAUCUUAUUUUUUUGUCAGCAAUCUAGUCGUAGACCGCGUCCACAUCAGAGCUGGUUCUCUCAAAUGAACCCUGGUUCUCAAUCCUGUUUGUUUCUGAGAGAUGUAAAACUUCAUAUAAACUCUGGUGCAGAUCAAACAUGCACACUUUGAUCUGCUUAAAAAGAGGAUUUGGUUAGUUUUCAAGUGGACUCUACUGAGGUUUGUUUGAAGUAGUAAAAUAGAGCACACUAUCUUUUAAACAAGGACGUGGCAUCAGUGCCUAGUUUAGUGUGUAACCAGACAAAUGUGCAGUGAGUCUUUAUGAUAGUUUCAAUACUAACUAUAAUACUAACUAAUACUUUCAGAAAGCCAACAAGCACAACCUGUGCACAGAACGUGACCUUUCCCUGAACACCUGUAAGACCAGAGAAAUAGCAGUUGACAUCAGGAGGAGUGAUCACUGGCACCACCAUCCCCUGAUUAUCAGUAGAUCUGAAGAGUGCUGAGCACAAAAUAUCACAAAAGACUCCACCAUAUUAUGUGUAUAUAGAAUGAACAUGUAGUUACAGUAAGACUGGUUUGUGCUCAAGUCCUCUUUUUUUCUGUGCAGCUCAUUUUUAGUUAUUAGGAGGUUCGUGUUUUCUAUGAUUGACACUUGAUACAGCCUAUGGGUGUACAAAGAUUGCGUAGCUCAGCCGGGGGAUACGCUGUUUGAACCGAGCGUAAUCACAGCGACUUUUGGCGACUUUCCGCCGAACGCAUACAAUGCUAUUGCGCAAUGUUGGUUUCAGGAAGUGGAGAAAAAAAUGGGGAAAUACCGAGAGCUUUUUGGCUUCAAAUCCGUAUACUGGCAGUAGGCUGAACCAAGUUGUCCAUAGUAUAAACAGCCUAUGGACUCCAUCCAUCCCUCACACGUCAUGUUCACUUUCCUCCAGUCUGGGAGAAAAUACAGAUCAGAUCAUUUGAACAGCACACAAGACACUGUUCCACUGAAAAUAAGGCCUUGCGUGUACCAAACAUGACUUGUUGACUCCAACAGAUUUAUAUAAUCUGCCGACAUCCGAUGGUCAGGUCACCAGACCUGACAGUUUUCACCACUUGGCUGUGAUCUCAUUUGACUUUUCACUGAAAUAAACAUGCAAUUCACAGAAGGACAGCAGAGCACAGAGGUUGUACUGUCUGAAAGAAAAGAAAUUACACUGCAUUCCAAAUAGUUAACAUCAAAAGCCCACUCCAAGGCAGCGAAGCACUGUUAAUGAGUAUGAAGAGAAAGACAAAGAAACAGGUCGCUGGCUUACAACCAAUUUCUAUUGACAGAUUCUGUAUGAUGAUGUAAAAUUUGUUUGCAGGGGUAUGGAUGGUUCAGCAUCACUUUGAUCUUCAUUUACAGAACAUCAGCAGUUUAUUUGUUUUUAACCAAUCAUGUUUAAAGGGAUAUUCUCCCGUAAAUUUAAUUAAGGGUCAAACACACCGCAACGCAGAGUUAGAAGUAAUAAUCACUAUAUUAAUAAUUUUGCACUACAGACGAGGUGGUUCUUCUGCGUUAGCGUCUCGGUCUGGUUGCAUUUCCAUGAAGAAAUGAUCAUAAAUGUUCUUCCUUGAGCUGCGUCACCCUGCAGCAGUCCGUAAUGGACUGGCCCGAGGUCUCGCUAUGAACAAGCGGCUGCUAGAAGAGGGUUGGUGAGUAUACGGAAAUAACAGUCCAUAUUAAGAGCAAAUCCACAAAUCAUUGACAUCCCAGAUCCCAAUAACAGUGACCUGACGCUUAAAUUUAUCCCUGCUAAGAUGGUUCAGCGUGCAACUACAGCUAACAACUUGUUUUUGAUGAUAAUUGUAAAUCACGUUUCAAAUUUCCUCCUAAGUUUACCUCAUUGCUUUUUUUCUGGAUGCAGGUAGAUGGUUUUACAUAGCUGUGCAUCUUCCUUGCUGUAUUUUUCUACUGAUUUUCUGGCCUCUUGUUAUAUUCUAGUUGUCUUUUGAGCAGGGCAAUGGAGAGAAUUAGCUAUAGGGUGUCUCAAAGUGGGUCCACCCAAACUUUGCAGAAGUAGCAUCAACAAAUCACUGCUAACAAAAUUCAGUGUAUCUCAUUAAUUUUGAAGUGCUGCAGAUUAUUGUUGUCAAGAGGCUUUGAGCACUUAUCUCUGACACACACUAUGUGUAUGAGCACCUAGCAUUUUGUGCAAAGGGAGUGGGCUGAAUAGUUAGCUCUCUUACUUGUGGUGUUUUGACAGUUGGUGGUGUUUCUAAAGUAGCUGACCAAGUGGUUGAAUCUACCCUCAUUUAAUUCUAAACAAACCUGUGGAUUUUUGAGAGUUUGGAUGACAGUGUUAUUUGCUAUACCAUCCAAUUCAGAUGCUCAUGUUGAUUCUUAGUGUUCCAGUACUGCUGCAUUGACAGCACUAGGAGAAGAUAAAGAGACUCAGACAUAUUUAUUGAUCUAUAUUCUGUUUUCAUAUUUAUGUUUGUUUUUUUUAUAUAUAAGGCCUGGAUAAUUCAUCACAUUUUAGCAGGAGCUGGUUGGCCCACAUGCCAUCUUGUUAAAUCUAUAGAGCCUGAUCUACUAACAUCCCAAAUAAGGGGUGCAAAGUUGCGUGUGCAAACUAAAAAAUUUCACGUGCUAUAAGUGGGCGUGUUGCAGGUGAUCCACUAUUAUUGUGUGCACAAUUGAUAACAGGCGCUAAAAUGGUGCAGAGUGCCAUCUUUUAAUAAAGAUAUUGCAAUCAGUUUCCGGGUUUGAUAAAUCACAUUGGGGUUGCUAAAUGAUUUUAUUUGCAUCUGCUCCUCCCACUAUUUCGCACGUUCUAAUGAUCUACGUACACUCUGCAUAUUCAUGAAGGCAAACACGCUUAAUUGAUUGCCUGUUUUGCUCAUUUGAUAGACGCAAUCCUUGGUGCACCCGCUUAGUAGAUCAGUAGAUCAAGUUUUCACGAGUUUUUGCACACGCAAACCUUUAGUAGAUCAUGCCCAUAAUUCAUAACUUCUUUUAUAUUCAUUUUACAACUCAGACUGCUGUAAUUAAUACCUUUUAAAAUCCUAACCCCUAUUAUAAACCUCUUUGUUUAUAAAUGCCUAAGUCCCACUGAUUUUUUACUUAAAUAAAAAUCAGGCAUUUACCAUCAUUAACUUUGGCAUUUCUUGUACAUACCUUUGUUGAUUGAUAAAGUUGCUGAACAUGUCCUUAUUCACCAUUCAUUGAUUAGUAGAAUUGAGUUAUAUAAAUCCAUUAUAUGACAGGCUUCUGCUUGUUACGCUUUAGUCCAGUUUAGAGUCCCAAAAACUUGGCAUGUAACUUCUCUUAGCACACAACCUCUUCAAGCACAGUCAUGUUACUCUGGACCAUUCACAUAAAGUUACACAGGCUGAAUGGUGGUAGAACUCCUGCUGUUGCCCUGGUGGUAAGGUGGUAACAGGUGCAGGUCAUUUUGACUUGACAGUUUUAGUUUGUGACAGUGGUGCUGCCUGUAUACAUGAUAAACAUAUUUUCCAAGCACACUGUGUAAAAUUAUCAGCUGGUACAAGAAUAUGAAAAUGUCCAAAGUGAGAACACAAACACAGCACAAUAAUCAAGCUUUGCCCUGGGAAUCUCAGUAUCGAUGGGCCUGGUACAGAUGGGCUGUGUGGACCUCGAUCAAAAUAAAAUCAGACAUGUCAUCUCAGUCUUGAAAAAGUGUUUCUAUCUUUUCUGUCUUUUAUGAUUUCUGGGUUACAUUGGAUGAAAACUGAUGGUGAAUGCUUUAAAAGAGGUUUUAUGUAUGAACACUAAAAAGAAAAAAACAUGUUUCUGUUAAAAGAGAGAACAGAUUUUUAAAUACUUUGAAUUAAAAGUUGAUUCUUUUGUAAACCAUUCGAACACAUAUAUAUAAAUUGCUUGUGGUGUCAGCGUCGGUUCUCAUUUAACUCAAAUACAACUUCAGUCAUAAACAUAUCUAGUAGUGAUUCUCAAACAAGGUGCACCCCAAGGGUAUAUAUUAGAUCCUCUUCUCUCCAUCCUCUUGGGCAGGUCUUUCAUCAUAAAAGUGUUUUUUUUUUCCUGUUUACAGUAGACACUGACCGCUUCAGUGCCACCCUUCUAGUCUGCAAUAUUCCACUUCUUGAUAACCCCGUUAUCUUAGCUGUGCCCUGCAAUAACACAACCAUCAAAAAACCUGAAUCUACUCUGCAGCCUCUCUGCCCCCGACAUAUACUGAUGCAGACAUUUGUAUUUUUAUCAAAUUCGAAAGUUAAGGUAAAAAAAGAGCAGGGCUGAUUUGCAUUGAAAGAAGUGGUAUGAAAUUCUUGAGUUUCAGGGGAUCUUUAUUUAAUUACAACCACAUUCCUCCAGUUCAAUUUAAGAUAGCUCUGGGAAAAGAUAUUCUAUUUCACAACACCAGACUCAAUGCAAAAUUUGAAGGACCCUUAAUCUAAGAGUUAUGCAGAUUUUUCAGUACCCCCCUUCUCUGAAUAGAUACAAUGGCAGGAUUUCGGAAACAGCUUUAACUCAAAGUCUAAUCAGUGGCAGAGGCCAGAGCUGCUCAUGUACGGCCCAGCAGUGGCCUUGACUGUGGCCUUGGUUAUCACUCAGCCUCAGCAUUUGCAAACAAUCUGCUGCUCUUUCUGUUGCUGUACGUAGGCAGACAUUGACAAUGUGCGUCACGUCUAUCUGCUUGUCAGGUAGGAAUCAAACAACACAGAUCAGCGGAGCCAUGUUACACAACAGUCAGUCUUUAACCUGCAAGCUAACAAUCAUGUCUGUUUGGGAUCUUAUUUCAGGUCCAAACUUUGCAGUGAAACUCCUCUUCUGACAGUGGUGAUGCUUUUAGGUUGUUAAUGCAUUUUCAUGUCCCUGUGUGUAUGGGCUGGAUAGGUAGCACAGGGCAACAAAGUGUAGAAUAAAAUCUCUUCUGCUCCAGAGACCAACACCAGUCUCAGGAAUCUUUAGAUCAUUAAUUCUUUGUGUUCGUUCCAGGCUGAAAUUCGCUCACCUUCUUCCCUCACAUUUUCGUCUCUGGUGAAAGGGAUCCUGAGACCAAGGCUACCAGAGAUUUUUGGCAGCAUGUGAAUAGAACAGACCUGACUCUGACAAAGGCUUUCUUUGAUUAGUUUUGCUUUGACGAAAGCUGCCUGUGAGAUGUUCGCUUCAACCAACAAGUUUGAUCUGCAGAUGCUGCUGCGAGUGCUGUAUCAAACAUUACCAAAGAUUUUUAUCUUGCGAUUUCAAAAUUCCUGUGAGGAACUUUCUCUUUGUGUUGAUUGGUUUGUGUUGUUAUGAUUGUGAGUAUUUUUGUGUGUAUAUGUGUGUGUGUGUGUAUGUGAAUUAUUUCAAAAGUGCUGGUAUUGGUUGUGCUUGUGUGUAUGCGUUUUUCUUUUCUCUUUCUCUCACCUUGAAUAGAUGCACCAAAAUCUUGUUCGCCAAUUGGAUGAUCGGUUUCCUACUUGGCAGGUGAUAGACUGGGUACAAAGGGUUUUCCCCAUAACAGCUGAGAGAUGGCAUCAACGCCACAGAACAGAGACCCCAUCUCCCUCCUCUCUCAACUGGCCAUUUGCUCUUUUAUUAUCAGCGUUUCUUAGAUUUUAGCGUUAGUGUCAUGAUAUGUCUGUUCCCUUGGUUUUGGUGAUUUGAGUGUUUCUGUGCCCUAUUGUUCCUGUUCCCCUGUAGUCCUGUCUUGUGAGUUUUCAGUUUGUGUCUGAGCCUGUUUCCCUCAUGUUCUCUGUGUUCUAUUCUCUAUCAGUCGUCAGUGUUUCCUGUUUUAUUUUGUAUUAGCUUCUUUCCUGUGUUUCUAGUCUUGUUUUGCUUCCUCAGUUUUCCCUCCUCUGUAUUUGUCUUCACCUGUGUCUCAGUGUCUCACCUGCCUCUCGUUGCUCGUUUCCCUGUGUGUAUAUAUAGUCCUUGUCUUCCCUGUUUCUUUGUUGGUUCAUUGUGUGGUAUGUUGCGGGUCUACAUGUCUGUAUGUCAAUGCCUCUGUGUGUCUCCUCGUGAUUUUUUGUUCCUUGGAUUUGGCUCCUUGUGUUUUGACUUUGGGAUUUCUUUUGGUUGGACUAUUUUGAAACUGAGUUUUUGUUGCUUCUUAUUUAGUUCUUUUUUGAAUAAAUCAUUUCUGG